GACGAACGCUGGCGGCGUGCUUAACACAUGCAAGUCGAACGGAAAGGCCCUGCUUUUGUGGGGUGCUCGAGUGGCGAACGGGUGAGUAACACGUGAGUAACCUGCCCUUGACUUUGGGAUAACUUCAGGAAACUGGGGCUAAUACCGGAUAGGAGCUCCUGCUGCAUGGUGGGGGUUGGAAAGUUUCGGCGGUUGGGGAUGGACUCGCGGCUUAUCAGCUUGUUGGUGGGGUAGUGGCUUACCAAGGCUUUGACGGGUAGCCGGCCUGAGAGGGUGACCGGCCAAAUUGGGACUGAGAAACGGCCCAAACUCCUACGGGAGGCAGCAGUGGGGAAUAUUGCACAAUGGGCGGAAGCCUGAUGCAGCAACGCCGCGUGCGGGAUGACGGCCUUCGGGUUGUAAACCGCUUUCGCCUGUGACGAAGCGUGAGUGGCGGUAAUGGGUAAAGAAGCACCGGCUAACUACGUG
rnacentral:rRNA from 1 species